GUCGAGCGGAUGAGAGGAGCUUGCUCCUGGAUUCAGCGGCGGACGGGUGAGUAAUGCCUAGGAAUCUGCCUGGUAGUGGGGGACAACGUUUCGAAAGGAACGCUAAUACCGCAUACGUCCUACGGGAGAAAGCAGGGGACCUUCGGGCCUUGCGCUAUCAGAUGAGCCUAGGUCGGAUUAGCUAGUUGGUGAGGUAAUGGCUCACCAAGGCGACGAUCCGUAACUGGUCUGAGAGGAUGAUCAGUCACACUGGAACUGAGACACGGUCCAGACUCCUACGGGAGGCAGCAGUGGGGAAUAUUGGACAAUGGGCGAAAGCCUGAUCCAGCCAUGCCGCGUGUGUGAAGAAGGUCUUCGGAUUGUAAAGCACUUUAAGUUGGGAGGAAGGGUUGUAGAUUAAUACUCUGCGAUUUUGACGUUACCGACAGAAUAAGCACCGGCUAACUCUGUGCCAGCAGCCGCGGUAAUACAGAGGGUGCAAGCGUUAAUCGGAAUUACUGGGCGUAAAGCGCGCGUAGGUGGUUUGUUAAGUUGGAUGUGAAAUCCCCGGGCUCAACCUGGGAACUGCAUCCAAAACUGGCAAGCUAGAGUAUGGUAGAGGGUGGUGGAAUUUCCUGUGUAGCGGUGAAAUGCGUAG
rnacentral:rRNA from 1 species